rnacentral:snoRNA from 11 species
AUGGAUCAAUGAUGUUACUAUGAAACUGCGCUAUCUAUCUGAAACAUCUUAAUAGAAUUUGAAGAUAACGGAAUAACAUCGUGAAAUCCAAU